rnacentral:rRNA from 1 species
UACGAAGGGGACUAGCGUUGUUCGGAAUCACUGGGCGUAAAGCGCACGUAGGCGGAUGUGUCAGUCAGGGGUGAAAUCCCGGGGCUCAACCUCGGAACUGCCUUUGAUACAGCACGUCUCGAGUCCGGAAGAGGUGGGUGGAAUUCCUAGUGUAGAGGUGAAAUUCGUAGAUAUUAGGAAGAACACCGGUGGCGAAGGCGGCCCACUGGUCCGGUACUGACGCUGAGGUGCGAAAGCGUGGAGAGCAAACAGG